rnacentral:lncRNA from 1 species
UUUCAACAACCUCUGCCCUUGCCUCUUCAGCUUAGUGAUACCAUCUGUCUCCUCCUUGGGGUCCACUUUACUCCAAGGUCCUCCAAAAACUACUCCCAACCAGAAAAUCAGGGGAACCUCAUAUCAGCAAAAGGAUUAUCUGACAAAUCACAAGUCUCUUUGGUUUUGUCUCCAGAGUGCUUUACUAGAUACAUACUGGUACUGCUCAGAUGACUCUCAAUCCCACAGGACCAGACUCAGCCAUCAGCCAUCCAUACAUGGCUCCCACGGACUGCAAUGACUCCCACUGACUUCCAUGGAAAAAAGCCAAAUUCCGCGGAAGGGGUGUAAAUACAACUUUAUUUGAAGUUACUGGGGGUCACAUAUAUAUCCCAGGGCAGAGUUUGGCUCAGGGAUUCUAGACUAAUCAAUUGCUGCCUUUGCGUGCAAAGCAAUGGAAAAAAUAUUACCACUACAAAAGUAAACCGAAUGUUAAUGACAGCUCUCCAAGAGAAAUCUAGAGAAGACUUCUCAAAGAAGUAUAAAAACAUUGUUACACCGUUAGCACACUUCUAGAGACUGUAAGCAAUUAGAACUCAAAUAAAAUAUAGGUUGCCAUGAAAAAUUUUUUGCAUAAUACAGUAUUCUCACACAGAUCUGCCUCUCAUACCAUUCCAAGCUUUGCUCUUUCUUUCUGUGACUAUGUUAAUCUUCUGGCCUUGACCUAUCUUUAGCAUGCGCUAGUUACUUGAAAUAAUGUUCAUCGUUUUCACUUGAACCUAAAUACAUACUAAAGGUACAUGUUAGUAUGGUGCCUUCUCCUUUUCCCCUAUCAGUUCUCCAACUCUGAAACACUCAGCGCCAGCUGUAGUAAAGGGAAUUACUGUCAUUUUUAUUUAUAAUUUUGUCUUUGUUGAACUCCUUUCCUAUUGAAACAAUUCACCCAUUUUUUUUA